rnacentral:rRNA from 1 species
GUAGAUGACGGUACCCGAAUAGAAGCACCGGCUAACUACGUGCCAGCAGCCGCGGUAAUACGUAGGGUGCGAGCGUUAAUCGGAAUUACUGGGCGUAAAGCGUGCGCAGGCGGUUUGGUAAGUCAGAUGUGAAAUCCCCGGGCUCAACCUGGGAACUGCAUUGAGACUGCCAGGCUGGAGUUUGGCAGAGGGGGGGUUGGAAUUCCACGUGUAGCAGUGAAAUGCGUAGAGAUGUGGAGGAACACCGAUGGCGAAGGCAGCCCCCUGGGCCAAUACUGACGCUCAUGCACGAAAGCGUGGGGAGCAAACAGGAUUAGAUACCCUGGUAGUCCACGCCCUAAAACGAUGUCAACUAGGUGUUGGAGGGUUAAACCUUUUAGUGCCGUAGCUAACGCGUGAAGUUGACCGCCUGGGGAGUACGGCCGCAAGGCUAAAAACUCAAAGGAAUUGACGGGGGAC